CCGACCUGUUAGAUCACACACGAGAUUGGAGGGGCAGAUUAUUUUAACGCUGAAAAAAUGAUUGAAACACACACGGAACACCGGCAGGAAGGUGCCUGCAGGUGAUGGGUGGACGCGCAGGCAGGCGGGCAGCGACUUCCAGACCCAUGUUGACCGGUCGGACGGGCAGACGAUGCGGGGAGAGCAGCUGGCGACGGUGCGCUCUGCGCUGUGCGCCGGAUUGAGCGCCACCCCGCCCCGUAUGGAAAGCAGCGCAGCGUGGGGUUAGAGGAGACACAACAAGCUCAAAGUCACUUCCCCAGACCCUUUCAAGAGCUCAGUGAUGACUGAUACUACUGUGCAAUGUCGUGGCCUCCAGUCAUGAGCCAAGGGUGUAAUGCAGCCAUGUGAUUAAGUGUGAUAAGUACAGCAGAAGCUGCCGGCCAUCUCUCUAUUUACAAAUAAAAGACUAAUCCUU